UCCUGGCCGUAAACGAUGGGCACUAGCUUGAGGGACCUUCGGGUUUCUCUUGCGUAGCUAACGCGUUAAGUGCCCCGCCUGGGGAGUAUGCGCGCAAGCGUAAAACUCAAAGGAAUUGACGGGGGCUCACACAAGCGGUGGAGCAUGUGGUUUAAUUCGAAGCUACGCGAAGAACCUUACCCAGGUUUGACAUGGAUGAAUUAGCUCUUGGAAACAAGAGUGACGCCCUUCGG
rnacentral:rRNA from 1 species